rnacentral:ncRNA from 1 species
CCUGCUGAAUUGAAGCAUCUAACUAAGCAGAGGAAAAGAAAAUAACAAUGAUUCCCUUAGUAACGGCGAGUGAAGUGGGAGAAGCCCAAGCCAAAAUCACUGUAAAGUGAGUUGUAGUGUGAAGACUGGUGUGAAGGUGAAGAAGCAUCGAAUUUGAUUGGAAAGUCAAGUCAUAGAAGGUGAAAACCCUGUAAGAUGCGUCUCUUCACCCCUAAAAUACCAGUUCGUGGAGUCGAGUUGUUUGGGAUUGCAACUCGAAGUUGGUGGUAAACAUCAUCAAAGGCUAAAUAGUGUCAAGAGACCGAUAGCGAACAAGUACCGUGAGGGAAAGAUGAAAAGAACUUUGAAAAAAGAGUGAAAUAGUACUUGAAAUCGUGGUUAGGUUAAGCGCAGAGGCUGAGUGGUAUUGUAGAACUUGUGUCCUUUACAGUUGUGAAGGGUUUAAGUUGUAUGAUAGGUGUUUGUGGUGUUUGUCUCCUCCAACCUAGAGGGGGAUGAGCACCCCACACACAAAAUCAACCUCUUCGUCCCGUCUUGAAANNNNN